rnacentral:rRNA from 1 species
AUUGAACGCUGGCGGCAUGCCUUACACAUGCAAGUCGAACGCGAAAGGGGGCAACCCCGAGUAGAGUGGCGAACGGGUGAGUAAUACAUCGGAACAUUUCCUGUAGCGGGGGAUAACCUCGAGAAAUCGAGGCUAAUACCGCAUACGUCCUACGGGAGAAAGCGGGGGACCGCAAGGCCUCGCACUAUAGGAGUGGCCGAUGUCGGAUUAGCUAGUUGGCGGGGUAAGAGCCCACCAAGGCUACGAUCCGUAGCUGGUCUGAGAGGAUGAUCAGCCACACUGGGACUGGGACACGGCCCAGACUCCUACGGGAGGCAGCAGUGGGGAAUUUUGGACAAUGGGGGCAACCCUGAUCCAGCCAUGCCGCGUGAGUGAAGAAGGCCUUCGGGUUGUAAAGCUCUUUCGGCCGGGACGAAAUCGCACCUUCUAACACAGGGUGUGGAUGACGGUACCGGAAGAAGAAGGACCGGCUAACUACGUGCCAGCCGCCGCGGUAAGAC